CUCUUCACGCUCUUUCUUUCUCCGAGAUCUCCGCCCUCGUCGCCUUCUUCUUGUCGUCCUCAAUUCGGUGGUGGCUGGGACCAUUUCGAUUCCUAUCUUCCCCGAUCUAAUUCAUCCAUUUUCAGGGAAUUGCUAGGAAUUCUCUGUACGAGCUUCCUUUGGAAUGCUUCGAUCGAUUACCAGUCUAUACACUACACUGGGGCAGUGUUGCGCGAUGCCUGUGGGUUACGUGCAGAUUCCGGUGGGCACGCCGGACGUUUGUUGCUCGACGGGAAGGACUACUUUGUGCCCAUUGCUACCACUGAAGAGAUGCUAUGGGGAUGAUCAUGAUUUCUUAAGGUGUUCAGAACGUCUUCGAUUCACUCCAGAACACUGUCCCUGACAUGGAUAUUAUAGGCAUCUCUGGAGGAAAACGCAAAAGGUGAGAAACAAAGAAGAGACGCUCUCGCUGUCGUCCCUGCCGAUGGCGUCCUCUACUUCUCCGAAGGAGUCAUUGACAUCGGUCUUGCUAAACGACAACAGCUGCAAGGAAAAACGUACCUGCCAUCCGUCCACGAGAUCGAGUUCUCGCAAAAACCUUAGCUCUGUCUCGAAGGCGCGAUGUGAGGAGAAAUCUCAUCGAUCAGUCACACGUUGGGGUCCCCAAGGAGGAGGCCUCCCUCCCUCUCUCGUGUUCAAACGUUUGAAGGCGCUUUUCAGAGGGAACUUUAUGGUCCCAGGACGCAGAACUUCAUCAACUUAAGGUCAUCUUGAGCUGGCUAUUCUAAGAAAGAAAAUUUUCUUAGUAAGU